rnacentral:rRNA from 1 species
AUUGAACGCUAGCGGGAUGCCUUACACAUGCAAGUCGAACGAGUGGCGGACGGGUGAGUAAUAUCUCGGAACGUGCCCAGUAGCGGGGGAUAACUACUCGAAAUAGUGGCUAAUACCGCAUACUCUUGGAGCGGCCCAUAUCGGAUUAGCUAGUCGGUGGGGUAACGGGUCACCAAGGCAACGAUCCGUAGCUGGUUUGAGAGGACGACCAGCCACACUGGGACGGAGACACGGCCCAGACUCCGAUGGGAGGCAGCAGUGGGGAAUGUUGGACAAUGGGUGAAAGCCUGAUCCAGCCAUACCGCGUGUAUGAGAAGGCCUUCGGGUUGUAAAGUACUGUAGGCAGAGAAGCGGUAUCUGCAGAAGAAGCACCAGCUAACUCCGUGCCAGCAGCCGCGGUAAUUC